rnacentral:tRNA from 1 species
GCCGCAGUAGCUCAGCAGGCAGAGCGGCCGCCUCGUAAGCGGCAGGUCGCCGGAUCAUACCCGGCCUGCGGCU